rnacentral:rRNA from 1 species
UACGGAGGGGGCUAGCGUUGUUCGGAAUUACUGGGCGUAAAGCGCACGUAGGCGGCUUUGUAAGUUAGAGGUGAAAGCCCAGGGCUUAACCCUGGAAUUGCCUUUAAGACUGCAUCGCUAGAAUCGUGGAGAGGUAAGUGGAAUUCCGAGUGUAGAGGUGAAAUUCGUAGAUAUUCGGAAGGACACCAGGGGCGAAGGCGACUUACCGGACACGGAUUGACGCUGAGGUGCGAAAGCGUGGGGAGCAAACAGG